UAAUCAAUUUAUGUCAUCUUCCCUAAUUUAAACCCAAAAUAGCCAUUGGUAGCCCUAAUAUUUUGAUUUUCAUAUUAAGAACAAUGUUGGUGCUCUCUAUUUGACGACUUCAUCAUCUUCUUCAAGAAAAUAAGUUUUUGAUUGAAAAAUAUCAAAUACGAUGUUCAAUCGUAUUUGUUAUGAUGAGAAUGAUCCGAUGUUGCGAGUGAAACUGCGAUGCAAACAUGGUGACUUACUAUCAAUGCAAACUUCAUGGUCGAAGCAUAAAUCUAGCUCGAAGAUUUUGAUCUUGUCCACGGUAUCGUGUUAGCCAAAAAGGAGCAAUCAAGGAAUGAUGAUUUCUGAGGGUUGUCCCAUCAAGAACUUUAAGCAAUCCCUGUAGCAUCAAACAACAAAACUAAACUUUGUAAGUUUCUCAAAAUGAGUUAAAAGUUAUCUAUGUAAUGUGAAAAUUCAACAUUUAAGAUGUAUGCAGAAGGUAGAAAUCCUACAAGAAAGCAUGUUUUUCUUUACUAUUAGCA